GAUGAAGCGGCAACAGCUCAAAUUUGAAAUCUGGCCCCAGGCCCGAGUUGUAAUUUGCAGAGGAUGCUUUUGGUGCGGUGCCUUCCAAGUUCCCUAGAACGGGACGCCAGAGAGGGUGAGAGCCCCGUACAGUUGGACACCAAGCCUUUGUAAAGCUCCUUCGACGAGUCGAGUAGUUUGGGAAUGCUGCUCAAAAUGGGAGGUAUAUUUCUUCUAAAGCUAAAUACCGGCCAGAGACCGAUAGCGCACAAGUAGAGUGAUCGAAAGAUGAAAAGCACUUUGAAAAGAGGGUUAAACAGCACGUGAAAUUGUUAAAAGGGAAGCGCUUGUGACCAGACUUGCGUCCGGUGAAUCACCCAGCUCUCGCGGCUGGGGCACUUCGCCGGCUCAGGCCAGCAUCAGCUCGCUGUCGGGGACAAAAGCUUCGGGAACGUAGCUCUCUUCGGGGAGUGUUAUAGCCUGUUGCAUAAUACCCUUCGGCGGGCUGAGGUACGCGCUCCGCAAGGAUGCUGGCAUAAUGGUCAUCAGCGAC
rnacentral:rRNA from 1 species